rnacentral:rRNA from 1 species
CAGCCAUACCGCGUGGGUGAAGAAGGCCUUCGGGUUGUAAAGCCCUUUUGUUGGGAAAGAAAUCCAGCCGGCUAAUACCUGGUUGGGAUGACGGUACCCAAAGAAUAAGCACCGGCUAACUUCGUGCCAGCAGCCGCGGUAAUACGAAGGGUGCAAGCGUUACUCGGAAUUACUGGGCGUAAAGCGUGCGUAGGUGGUUGUUUAAGUCUGUUGUGAAAGCCCUGGGCUCAACCUGGGAACUGCAGUGGAAACUGGACGACUAGAGUGUGGUAGAGGGUAGCGGAAUUCCUGGUGUAGCAGUGAAAUGCGUAGAGAUCAGGAGGAACAUCCAUGGCGAAGGCAGCUACCUGGACCAACACUGACACUGAGGCACGAAAGCGUGGGGAGCAAACAGGAUUAGAUACCCUGGUAGUCCACGCCCUAAACGAUGCGAACUGGAUGUUGGGUGCAAUUUGGCACGCAGUAUCGAAGCUAACGCGUUAAGUUCGCCGCCUGGGGAGUACGGUCGCAAGACUGAAACUCAAAGG